AGUGAAAUUGCUGGGUCACGUGGUAAGUGUAUGUUGAACUUUAUAAGAAAUUGCCAAAUUGUUUUCCAAAGUGGUUGUAACAUUUAUACUCCCACUAGCAAU
rnacentral:pre_miRNA from 1 species